CCUUGCCUCCGCCCAUCACACACGGCCUUGUGCGGGUCACGUGACGGUCAGGUGACCCUUGACCGGACGUGACCCGGCCCAUCGUGGGACUCUCGGCUCACCCCCAACUUGCAUCUCACACAUCUCGUCGCAUCGCGCCGUAUCGUUCGUUAUACGUAAUUGGCUGCAUUAGCUACGUACCUACUUGCUUCGUGGGCCGCUCAUGCUCCGCUCCUCGACACUUCGCUCCCUCCGCUUAAAUCCGAAGCAAGUCGCCCGGACGCCGCUCCGUGUCGCCGCGGCGCCGCUCGCGCAGCCGCAGUCCGCGCGGCUCGCCCGUCUACGACCGCUACAGGAGGUCGAACAGCCGCGACUAGAGAUGGCGCCGCCGACAGCCGCGACUAGCGGUGGCGCCGCAGACGGCGGUGUAGCCGCCCGCCAGCGUCGGCCCGCCCCGCCGGCACCUCCUCCAGGCUCUGCCCUCUCCGUCCUCCUGCCCCCUCGUGCAGCGUUCGUGGUAACCGCGCAUAACGUGGUGUUCAUACCCCCCCACCCCCCCCCCCCCACCCCCACCCCACCCCCGCUCCCCCGAGAAAGGCGGCGCUGGUUUCGUGUCUUGCAUACCUGCGAUGUCUCGAAUUUAAUUGUGCGCGGCAUGUGUUUGGUUGUGUGAGGGCAGGUGAAGAUGUAGCCUUGGUGGCAUUCCAUUCCAUAUGUAUUUCGAGUGCGCAGCGAAAAUAAACGCUUUUCGAAUUAAU